UUUCGUGAGAAUGGAAAGGACACACUUCAACCUUUUUAAUAAAAGGUCUUUGAGACACCAGUCUUCAGAACUGAGUCAGGGGUCAUCCUUAUAACAAUUCUGGGCUCUCCAGGAUCCAAGUGACCACCAAGAAAGGCUCGUGAAACCCAGAAGACGGCAGCAGUUGCUGCAGAGACAGGUUGAACUCCAGCAAAAAAAACCAAAACAAAACAAAAAACGCCAAGGAUCACUCAAGUCCGAUAUAUAUCAAACAAAGACCAAUCUUGUAGGAGGGUGCACACAAGAAGGAGGAUCUCUACAAGAAGAGACACUGUUUGAACAGCACUUGGACCAGAGGACUUCGCCAGAUGAUGUCCAGAGUGUUGGACAGCUGUAUGAGAAGAGAUUUCUGAAGCUUUAAAUGAACAAUUUAUCAUUACUUUUGGGUCUCUGUAUCUGUACUUAAUAAGGGGACUCCCUCUUUUUACUUUGUCAAUGCGUCGGUCAAUUCCUCCCUUCCUUCUCCCAUAUUGUUUUAAGUCCCCCAAAUCCCUUGAUGACAUGUUGCCCAGCAGCAUAGCCCCAGAUAGAACCAUUACUAAGGCAUUGCAAGGUUUAACCACUUUAGCUGAGGAGUUGGCAGAGAACUCUGGUGUAGAUAACUGAUUAAAGGGACAGUCAGAAUUGCAAAUGGAAAGGAAUGGCUUCAGGAGUAUUAACUGCUAUAGGAUGUUGUAUAGUUCCAUGCACUAGGGGACUGGUACAACAAUUGAUAGAGACAUCCCUCACUAAAGAUUAUCCCAGUAGGACCCACAGUGGGAGUUCAGAGGGCAGGCUCUGGAAAUAUAAGGAUGAUGAUACCUUAUGUAUCAAUGAGACUUUCCCCAGUGAUGGAGAAUGUGAAAUCAUGUUAAGGAGAUUAGAGGAUAAGGAAAUUGGGAAGGU